rnacentral:lncRNA from 1 species
GCUUGUUUGAAUUGACGCCUGGAAAAACCAAUCUCGGUGGAUUGAAGUAGUGUAAGGAAGCCGAACAACUUUGACAGAUAGGGCCCUUGUGCCAUUAAACGUCAACCAACCAACCAACCAUUGACAGAUAGGAAAAACUUUAUGGACUAGACUGUACUUCACUGUCCCUAUACGAAAACCUUCCGGUGGUAUAUCAGUAUUGACUGGUCAUUAACCGCGAACGAAGUAUUGCAUAACUUGGUAGCAAGCAAGGAAAAUCAGAAGAGACUAAGGAAAUUGAUGGAUACGAUAGACCAACUCGUGACUUGAUCCGAGCCACGAGUGGCCUGUUUGGCUUCCUAUUGGGAAAGGAGAAAUAGCCUUCGCUUCCAGAUCUUUUCGCAGGGAGUGAACUGUAACCGUCGAGUUCCCUCGAGGAAGAGACACAGCAUCUAGUCGCCUCAUUCCUUCACGGGCAAGACGUUUCAGUGGUGGAUCACAACGACACGGCAGUAACAGUAACCGCUGUGCAAAGGGGAUGUUCGCAUCUCCUGUGGAUCGCUCGGUGACGGCGAGACCUCACCGAAAAGUGCACAAAAGGGCAAAGAUUAAAUCGUGUUUCUAAAAACUCUGUAGUACCUACACAGGUCGAGCAGAGGACAAUCCUUUGGGAUUAUGUCGAGAACACAAUAUGAGCCGAUGACUCAGAGGAGGCCGGAGCAACAGAAAGGCCGCCCGCCAAGCUUGAUGACGGCUUACAAUCCAUGGCAAUAGAAAAAUUUGAAGCGAUUUUUUUGCAGUCGAUAACGCAGUUGACAGUACACAACCGGCACGAGCGCCAGGAGGAACAUAUAUAUGCCACGGCGGUCCAUGGGGUCCUCUGGCACUGGAGACCUCAGAUGCCAAGCGAGUACGGGCAUAUGCAAAACUUUAGUCCCGCCCUCCGACAAGCGAAUAUACGGGCACCGCUAGCCAAAUAACGAGGGGCCGCCAACGCGCGAGACCGUGCGAAAAGACGGCGCAAAGAAACGCCCUCAAGCAGCAUGGCCAAUAUUUUUAUUUUAUUUAUUUAUUUAAUCCAUUAAUGGCAUACAGCUGUAAAAGAUAUAUAUCACUGGUAUAGAAUGCUAAUAUACACAAUUCAAAUUUCUUGUAUAAUCAGCGGCAUUUUUUUAAAUAUAUCCAAAUU